UUAGAUACCCUACUAUACUAAUAGAAACCUAAAUUAUUAAUAGAUAUGUUCUUUAAAUUUGAAGAAUUUGGCGGUGGUUAAUACUUGUUAGAGGAACCUGUUUUUGAAUCGAUACACCACGCGGAAUCUUACUCAUUUUAUUUAGCUUAUAUACCGUCAUUAUCAGAUGAUUUUUAGAAAAUUUAAUCAUUAAAAUUUGUUAUAUCAAAGCAAAUUAGAUCAAGGUGUAGCCGAUAAAUGAGUUAAAAUGGGUUACAAUGAAAAUUUAUUCAUUACGGAGUAGUUUAUGCAAAUGUAAACUAGGAAGGAGGAUUUGAUUGUAAUAUAAGUUUAAUAAGCUAGAAAGAUAUGAGCUCUAAACCAUGUACAUAUCGCCCGUCGCUA
rnacentral:rRNA from 1 species